rnacentral:rRNA from 1 species
ACAGGUGCUGCAUGGCUGUCGUCAGCUCGUGUCGUGAGAUGUUGGGUUAAGUCCCGCAACGAGCGCAACCCUCGCCCUUAGUUACCAGCAUUUAGUUGGGUACUCUAGGGGGACUGCCGGUGACAAGCCGGAGGAAGGUGGGGAUGACGUCAAGUCCUCAUGGCCCUUAUGGGCUGGGCUACACACGUGCUACAAUGGCGGUGACAGUGGGUUGCGAUCCCGCGAGGGUGAGCUAAUCUCCAAAAGCCGUCUCAGUUCGGAUUGUUCUCUGCAACUCGAGAGCAUGAAGUUGGAAUCGCUAGUAAUCGCGUAUCAGCAUGACGCGGUGAAUACGUUCCCGGGCCUUGUACACACCGCCCGUCACACCAUGGGAGUUGGUUUUA